rnacentral:rRNA from 1 species
GACGAACGCUGGCGGCGUGCUUAACACAUGCAAGUCGAACGGUGAAGCGCGUGUUUCUACUCGCGGAUCAGUGGCGAACGGGUGUGUAACACGUGAGUAACCUGCCUAUCACCCUGGUAUACGUACUGGACUCGGUGUCUUAUCCUGGAUGCGACCAACCCUUGCACGGGGUGUUGGUGGUAUGAUUUAUCGGUGAUGGAUGGACUCGCGGCCUAUCAGCUUGUUGGCGGGGUAAUGGCCCACCAAGGCGACGACGGGUAGCCGGCCUGAGAGGGUGACCGGCCACACUGGGACUGAGACACGGCCCAGACUCCUACGGGAGGCAGCAGUGGGGAAUAUUGCACAAUGGGCGAAAGCCUGAUGCAGCGACGCCGCGUGGGGGAUGACGGCCUUCGGGUUGUAAACCUCUUUCGGCAGGGAAGAAGCGAAAGUGACGGUACCUGCAUAAGAAGCACCGGCUAACUACGUG